rnacentral:rRNA from 1 species
CUGCUGCCUCCCGUAGGAGUUUGGGCCGUGUCUCAGUCCCAAUGUGGCCGUUCACCCUCUCAGGCCGGCUACUGAUCGUCGCCUUGGUGGGCCGUUACCCCUCCAACCAGCUAAUCAGACGCGGGUCCAUCCUGUACCACCGGAGUUUUUCACACUGUACCAUGCGGUACUGUGCGCUUAUGCGGUUUUAGCACCUAUUUCUAAGUGUUAUCCCCCUGUACAGGGCAGGUUACCCACGCGUUACUCACCCGUCCGCCACUAAGAUAAACAAGG